AAUCAACGCUGGCGGCGUGCCUAACACAUGCAAGUCGAACGCGAAAGUCCCGCAAGGGAUCAGUAGAGUGGCAAACGGGUGAGUAACGCGUGGGUGACCUGCCUUCGAGCGGGGGAUAACGUCCCGAAAGGGACGCUAAUACCGCAUAACAUCCUGCCUUUUAACAGGCGGAGAUCAAAGCUGGGGAUCGCAAGACCUAGCACUCGAUGAGGGGCCCGCGUCUGAUUAGCUAGUUGGUGAGGUAACGGCUCACCAAGGCGACGAUCAGUAUCCGGCCUGAGAGGGCGGACGGACACACUGGGACUGAGACACGGCCCAGACUCCUACGGGAGGCAGCAGUGGGGAAUUGUUCGCAAUGGGCGCAAGCCUGACGACGCAACGCCGCGUGGAGGAUGAAGACCUGGUUGUAAG
rnacentral:rRNA from 1 species